GGGUUGCUCAAGUCUACUAAGUGUCCAACUCUUGGUUUCGGCUCAGGUCAUGAUCUCAAGCUCUAAGCUGGUCUGUGAAGGCUUCCCAUGCAGGUUCUAAGGCAGAGACAGGCCAAGGUACAUCAAGGCAUCACACUCUCUCCAGUGACCACCAACCAUCUUAUCAGCUCACUUGCUACUGAACUGAGCUGUUCAAAAUGGUAACCACUAGAAUACUGGAUAUUCACAUGCAAAAGAAUAAAACUGGAUCCCUAUCUUACAGCACUCACAAAAAUUAACUCAGCAUGGAUUAAGGUCUUAAAUCUAAGACCUGAAACUAUGAAACUCCUAGAAAUAAACAUGGGGAAAGAACUCCAUGACACUCAAAGCAUAUGUGACAAAAAUAAAACCAAGUGGGAUUACAACAAGCUAAAAAGCUUCUGCACAGCAAAAGAAACAAUCACUAAAAUUAAAAGGCAACCUACAGAAUGAAAGAAAAUACUUACAAACCAUGUAUCUGAUAAAAGGAUAUAUACCCAAGAGCAAAAAAAUAAUCUGAUUUUUUAAAUGGGCAAAGGACCUGAAUGAACAAUUUUCCAAGGAAGGCACACAACUGACCAACAGGUAUAUGAAAAGGACCUCAACAUCACUCAGCAUCAGAAAAAUGCAAAUUAAAAGCACAAUGAGAUAUCACCUCACACCUGCCAAAAUGGCUAUCACCAAAAAGACAAGAAGUAAAUCCUGGCAAGGAUGUGGAAAAAAGGGAACCCUAAUGUACUUCUGGUAAGAAAGGAAGUUGAUAUAGCCACUAUGGAAAACAAUAUGGAGGGCCCUCAGAAAAUUAAAAAUAGAAUUACCAUAUGAUCCAAUAUCCAAUAAUCCCACCUCUGGGUACAUAGCCAAAGGAAAUGAAAUUACUAUCUUGAAGAGUUAUCUUCAUCCACAUGUUCACUGUGGUGUUAUUUACAAAAGCCAAUACAUGGAAACAACCCAAGUGUCCACGGAUGGAUAAAUGGAUACGGAAAUAUGUAGUGCUGAUAAAGAAUAUAUAAUGAAAUAUUAUUCAGCCAUAAAAAGGACGGAAAUGCUGCCAUCUGUGACAUGUUUGAAACUUGAGGGCAUUAUGCUCGUGCAACAAGUCAGAGAAAAGCAACUACUGUAUGAUCUUACAUGUGAAAUCUACAAACAACGGAACGCUUAUAAGAGACUUGGUGGCUGCCAAG